UGGAGGCAGCAGUGGGGAAUAUUGGACAAUGGGUGCAAGCCUGAUCCAGCCAUGCCGCGUGCAGGAAGAAAGCCUUCUGGGUUGUAAACUGCUUUUCUCUGGGGAUAAAAUGAUCGUGCGCGAUUAAUUGAAGGUACCAGAGGAAUAAGCCACGGCUAACUACGUGCCAGCAGCCGCGGUAAUACGUAGGUGGCAAGCGUUGUCCGGAUUUAUUGGGUUUAAAGGGUGCGUAGGCGGUCCCAUAAGUCAGUUGUGAAAUACGGCAGCUUAACUGUCGAGGUGCAAUUGAUACUGUGGGACUUGAGUACUGAUGAGGUAGGCGGAAUGGACGGUGUAGCGGUGAAAUGCUUAGAGAUCGUCCAGAACACCGAUAGCGAAGGCAGCUUACUAAGGAGUAACUGACGCUGAGGCACGAAAGUGUGGGGAUCAAACAGGAUUAGAAACCCUGGUAGUCCG
rnacentral:rRNA from 1 species